ACCUACGGGGCGCAGCAGUGGGGAAUAUUGGGCAAUGGGCGCAAGCCUGACCCAGCAACGCCGCGUGAAGGAAGAAGGCUUUCGGGUUGUAAACUUCUUUUCUCAGGGACGAAGCAAGUGACGGUACCUGAGGAAUAAGCCACGGCUAACUACGUGCCAGCAGCCGCGGUAAUACGUAGGUGGCAAGCGUUAUCCGGAUUUACUGGGUGUAAAGGGCGUGUAGGCGGGACUGCAAGUCAGAUGUGAAAACCAUGGGCUCAACCUAUGGACUGCAUUUGAAACUGUAGU
rnacentral:rRNA from 1 species